rnacentral:rRNA from 2 species
UGGGGAAUUUUGGACAAUGGGCGAAAGCCUGAUCCAGCAAUGCCGCGUGCAGGAUGAAGGCCUUCGGGUUGUAAACUGCUUUUGUACGGAACGAAAAAGCUCCUUCUAAUACAGGGGGCCCAUGACGGUACCGUAAGAAUAAGCACCGGCUAACUACGUGCCAGCAGCCGCGGUAAUACGUAGGGUGCGAGCGUUAAUCGGAAUUACUGGGCGUAAAGCGUGCGCAGGCGGUUAUGUAAGACAGAUGUGAAAUCCCCGGGCUCAACCUGGGAACUGCAUUUGUGACUGCAUGGCUAGAGUACGGUAGAGGGGGAUGGAAUUCCGCGUGUAGCAGUGAAAUGCGUAGAUAUGCGGAGGAACACCGAUGGCGAAGGCAAUCCCCUGGACCUGUACUGACGCUCAUGCACGAAAGCGUGGGGAGCAAACAGGAUUAGAUACCCUGGUAGUCCACGCCCUAAACGAUGUCAACUGGUUGUUGGGAAUUAGUUUUCUCAGUAACGAAGCUAACGCGUGAAGUUGACCGCCUGGGGAGUACGGCCGCAAGGUUG